rnacentral:rRNA from 1 species
AUUGAACGCUGGCGGCAUGCUUUACACAUGCAAGUCGAACGGUAACAGGCCUUCGGGUGCUUACUAGUGGCGAACAGUUGAGUACUGCAUCGGAACGUACCCGGAUCUGGGUGUUCGUGCAGCGUAAGCUGUGCUAAUACCGCCUGUUAUCUCAUGAUGACAGCGGGGGACCGCACAGCAUUUUUUGGCCUCGCGCCUUUGGAGCGGCCGAUGUCGGAUUAGCUAGUUGGUGGGGUAAAGGCCUACCAAGGCGACGAUCCGUAGCUGGUCUGAGAGGACGACCAGCCACACUGGAACUGAGACACGGUCCAGACUCCUACGGGAGGCAGCAGUGGGGAAUAUUGGACAAUGGGCGCAAGCCUGAUCCAGCAAUGCCGCGUGCGGGAAGAAGGCCUUCGGGUUGUAAACCGCUUUUGGCAGGAACGAAACGGUGUAGGCUAAUACCGGGCGCUAAUGACGGUACCUGCAGAAUAAGCACCGGCUAACUACGUG